rnacentral:rRNA from 1 species
AUUGAACGCUGGCGGCAGGCCUAACACAUGCAAGUCGAGCGAGCGGCGGACGGGUGAGUAAUGUAUGGGGACUGCCCGAUAGCGGGGGAUAACUACUGGAAUCGGUAGCUAAUACCGCAUACUAUCGGAUAACCCAUAUGGGAUUAGCUAGUAGGUGAGGUAAUGGCUCACCUAGGCGACGAUCCCUAGCUGGUCUGAGAGGAUGAUCAGCCACACUGGGACUGAGACACGGCCCAGACUCCAACGGAGGGAGCAGUGGGGAAUAUUGAACAAUGGGCGCAAGGCUGAUGCAGCCAUGCCGGGAGUAUGAAGAAGGCGUUAGGGUUGUAAAGUAGGUUCAGUCGGGAGGCGUUACCGACAGAAGAAGGACAGGCUAACUACGUGCCAGCCGCAGCGGUAAUUC